rnacentral:rRNA from 1 species
CACGUAGGGGGCGAGCGUUGUCCGGAAUUAUUGGGCGUAAAGAGCUUGUAGGCGGUUUGUCGCGUCUGCUGUGAAAUUUCGGGGCUCAACCCCGAACUUGCAGUGGGUACGGGCAGACUAGAGUGUGGUAGGGGAGACUGGAAUUCCUGGUGUAGCGGUGAAAUGCGCAGAUAUCAGGAGGAACACCGAUGGCGAAGGCAGGUCUCUGGGCCAUAACUGACGCUGAGAAGCGAAAAGCAUGGGGGAGCGAACAGG